AUGUAAAUUCUUACAACAUAGCAUUGAUGCACUAGAUCCCAUUAUAACUCCGUAGUGAAGCACGCUCGGGCUAGAGAAGUACUGGGAUGGUGACUACCCAAGAAUUCCUAGUAUUUUACAUG
rfam:Picea glauca, whole genome shotgun sequence.